rnacentral:lncRNA from 1 species
CACUGACGAGCGCAAGAGAGAAUGACUGUCUGCCUUUGCCACAGAAUCAGCAGUUUUAGGAAGCAUAUGGCAAAUCCAACUUUUGGAAAUUUUCUCUGUGGAGAUGAAUGGGGCUAAGGAAUCAAAGUAGGAAGUUUCAGGCCAUGACCCAAAGGCUUGAGACUUAAAAACGGAACAGAGAAGACCUGAGGCAUCAUGAUUGUGUGAGAGCAUUACUAGAGGAGAAAGAGAGGCAAAGGGCAAAGCCAAGAAGGAAGACAGCCAUCUUCUCUUCUGUCUUUCCAGGUAUGUUCCCCACAACCAUGCGUUUUGCUGUCUUCAGACUGUGUGCUGCUCCAGUCAGUGGCCUGGCCUGGUGAGGAGUUUCUCAAACACGACUGCCUUGCUGGGAGGCAGAGCCAGAGUGAAAGAUUCAGAAUUUCUCAGAUUACAAUGGAGAACUACAUGAUGGGCUAUGCAAUUGUAAACUUAGGCUGUGGACUUGUUCUGUACUGG